rnacentral:misc_RNA from 1 species
GAUGAAGAACGUAGCGAAAUGCGAUAAGUAAUGUGAAUUGCAGAAUUCAGUGAAUCAUCGAAUCUUUGAACGCACAUUGCGCCCGCUAGUAUUCUGGCGGGCAUGCCUGUUCGAGCGUCAUUUCAACCAUCAAGCCCUGUUUAGGCUUGUGUUGGGGCCCUGCGGUUGCCGCAGCCCCCUAAAUGCAGUGGCGGGCUCGUUGUCACUCCGAGCGCAGUAGCGUAUCUCGCUCUGGGCGUGGCGGCGGGUGCUAGCCGUGAAACACCCAGUAAGGUUGACCUCGGAUCAGGUAGGAAUACCCGCUGAACUUAAGCAUAUCAAUAAGCGGAGGA